ACAACCUCCUCCAUCACACUGAAGAGAACAUCAAGAACCAUACUACUCCUACAGAUAUGACAGAGGCUGGAUACAGGGGACUGCACUGCUGUCUUCUACAGAAGAAAGACAUUCUUCAGAAGAAACUGAGUGCUGUCACCAGCACCUAUGCCCAUGUAGACACAGACCCCGGUGUUUUUAACGUGUUGGAAGAAGAUCUGGAGGACUUUGAAGAGGAUUACAGCAGUUCAGAACUUUCAGAUGAAGAAAUGUAGUACGUCACGUAGAGCAGGUUGUGCAUCAGCUGCCACAGAUGACUGAACGUAUGAGCAAUUUCUCUGAAACUUUUGUUUUUUUUUUCUCUCUCUCUGGCUGUGUCGGACCACUUGGAAAACUCCUGGUAUUCCCAAUGGCCAGUCCGCCCCUGGCAUCAAUACAUUUGGACAUGUGUGGGUCAUGCAGUUAUUACAUGCUGAAUAUGUCUGGAGGAGAAGUUAUUGUUAUUUUAUUUUCUAUGAAAUGUGUACAUGUAAACAGUUACAUCUGGAAUAAAUACAUGCCAGUUUACUCCA